rnacentral:rRNA from 1 species
UACAGAGGUCUCAAGCGUUGUUCGGAUUCAUUGGGCGUAAAGGGCGCGUAGGCUGCGGGGCAAGUCGGGUGUGAAAUCUCAGAGCUCAACUCUGAAACUGCACUCGAUACUGCUUUGCUUGAGGACUGGAGAGGAGAUUGGAAUUCACGGUGUAGCAGUGAAAUGCGUAGAUAUCGUGAGGAAGACCAGUGGCGAAGGCGGGAUCUCUGGACAGUUCCUGACGCUGAGGCACGAAGGCCAGGGGGAGCAAAACGGGG